AACGAACGCUGGCGGCAUGCCUAACACAUGCAAGUCGAACGAGACCUUCGGGUCUAGUGGCGCACGGGUGCGUAACGCGUGGGAACCUGCCCUUAGGUUCGGAAUAACUCCCCGAAAGGGGUGCUAAUACCGGAUAAUGUCUUCGGACCAAAGAUUUAUCGCCUUUGGAUGGGCCCGCGUUGGAUUAGCUAGUUGGUAGGGUAAAAGCCUACCAAGGCGACGAUCCAUAGCUGGUCUGAGAGGAUGCUCAGCCACACUGGGACUGAGACACGGCCCAGACUCCUACGGGAGGCAGCAGUGGGGAAUAUUGGACAAUGGGCGAAAGCCUGAUCAAGCAAUGCCGCGUGAGUGAUGAAGGCCUUAGGGUUGUAAAGCUCUUUUACCCGGGAUGAUAAUGACAGUACCGGGAGAAUAAGCUCCGGCUAACUCCGUG
rnacentral:rRNA from 1 species